GGCAACAAAAAAAAAUAGGUUUAAUAUUUGUUGUCCUUUAUUUUAUAUUCAAAGAGCUUCCUACCUACUCCAUGAUGUGCAAAAUGAUCCUAAAAUAAAGCUACCUCAAAAAGAUACAGCAAAUGCAGAGAUCCUUCAUAUGGGAGAGAUAAUGAAGAUGUCAUUCAUAAAAUCCACUGGAAAAAUAUCACCCGUACUAAGAAACAGAGAGGUUUAGGACUAAGAAAUCUCACUGACGUGAAUAAGGCUUGCAUUGUUAAAUUGGUUUGGAAGUUUAAAAGUGGUGAAAGAGCUUCGUGGUGAAAAGUGUUGGGGAGUUUCUAAUGAGACCAAUUCUAGGAGAGGGAGACACCACAUCUCAAUUCAAAACCUUAAGGUGGUAAAUAGGUGGUCAUCACUUUUAUAAAUUCAACAUUUCACCCCUUCAUAACAAUGUGAGACGUUAACCAUUCACACUUGCACCCAAAAUUCUCUCUCAUAAGUGUGAGUCUCCCACAUCCUAUAAUAGGAUCCAUCACUGGAUCCAGCUCCUGCUCCCCAACCAAGUCGAAACACGGCUCUGAUACCAUUGUUAGGAAGUCCGGGAGAGUCGGGAACACCAAUGGAACUGAUGUUCCAAGACUACAGAGAGGGAGACACCAAGGUCCAAGGUUUUCAAUUUUGAAUUGAGAUGUGGUGUUUCCCUCUCAUGUGGUCUUGAACAUUGGUCUCAUUGGUGCUCUCGACUCUCCCCGACUCUCCAACAGAGUAUCAGAGUCUGAUUUGACUUUGUGGGAGAGCGGGAGCUGGAUUCGGUUUUGGAUCCUGUUUAUAGGAUAUGGAGGACUCACACGGGUGAAUUGUGAGUGAUUAAAAUCCAACAUUGUCUAUAAAUGGGUAGAAUUGUUAGAUUUAUAAGAGAGAUGACUCAUUUACUUAACAUCUGAAGAUUUUUGGUUGAUAUGUAGUGUCUCCCUCUUCUGUAGUCCUAGAACAUUAGUCCCGUUGGUGCUCCCGACUUCUGCAGAUUUCUGCUAGUUUUGCUGCCUCUGAAUUUGCUACUCCAAAUAUUUAUGACUCUCAUUUACGGAAGACGUUUCAUACUGUGUGGAAUAAAUUUUCAGCUCUGUCAUACAGGUUCAUAGGCAAUGGAAAACUCAUUAAAGCGUGGCAAGACCCUUGGGUAGCUACUAGCUAGCAUUAGGUAGUAUGUUGAAGGAUUAUAUGCAGAAUCUCAAUUCUAAGAUAGACCAUUUAAUUGUGGCUGAGCUGAUCAAUGAGCAGGGAGACUAAAAUUGAAGCUUGCUUGAUAAAUUAUUUGAUAAUGACAUCAAGGAAAAAAUUGAUGUUAUUCAUCCUCCUAUUACUAAUGAGGACCUUAACACUUGCAUAUGGGCAGGAAUUAAAAAUGGUUAAUUCACUAUUGCUUCUGCACUAAACUGUUUUACUGAGACCUCCUAAUAGAUUCAAAGCGUGGAUCGGAAGAGGAUGUGGAAAAUUCAACUCCUAGAGGAAAGCAGAAUUUUCUAAUGGCAAGUUGCUCAUGAAGGUAUCAAAACGAAGCAGCUCUUGGCCAGGAGGCACAUUGGAGACCCCUACUCAGGGGCGACGCUAGGGCCCGGUCAGGAUGGGCGCUUGCCCAGGCUCGGGCCCAGUAGUUUUUAGCCCAUAUGUUAAAAAAAACAUAAUUUAAAAAAAAAAAUGAGAGGAAAAGGUUUUGGAGCUUAUUGCUUAGUCGUAGUUUUUAGCCCAUAUGUUAAAAAAAAAUGAGAGGAAAAGGUUUUGGAGCUUAUUGCUUAGUCCCUCAAUCUCUUUCUCUUACUCUUUUUGCCGCGACAUCCCAAGGUGGGGUUUACAGUUGUUGUUUCUUCGGUAGAGACAUUAUGGUACUAAAGCUACAAGUGAAGCAUAACCUAUACUUACAAAAAACUGCCGCUCAAAUUUCGUGGCCAACACCGAACUACUUCGUCCGUCGGCGAACAUAGUACUACUGCUGCCUUUUUCACUUUCAUAAAUAAGAGUUUUUUCAACAAUGAAGAUUGUCAAGUCUAAAUUGCGCAAUAAGAUCAACGACGUGUGGUUCAAUGACUUAAUGGUAUGUUACACUGAGCGGGAAAUAUUCAAGUCACUUGAUGAUAUUGAUAUUAUUUGAACAUUCACCGAAAAGAAGUCUCAGAAAGAACAUUUGUCUCGUGAUUUUAUUUAACACCCUAUUGCUUUAUAACUUUCUGGCUUCGCCACUGCCCCUACUGUGUAGACUGCCCAAGCAUUGUAGAGGAUUUCUUACGUGCACUCCGAGACUGCAUGCACCAAUGCGAAACCAGCGUGGUCAGCGCUUGCUAGUAAGCAAUUCUGGAAUCUCUUCUUCAGCUUGUAAUUAUUGGAACCGGUCUUGACGGGACAAAAUAAAAUCACUUUUUUGAUUGAUUCACGGUUCUCGCUGCUCAUUAUUCACUCGAGUGAUUCAAUCACUCUUUGGUUGCAAGACAAUUCGUUCGCACAAUGAUUUGACAAGAAAAGAAAUCUUUGAAAUAGAAAUGGGGAAGAAAAUAGAAAUUAGAUUUUGGGAGAGAGAGGAAGAAGAAGGAUUAGAAAAUUUGCAGAAUUUCUCUUUGUUUUUAAUUCUCAACUGUAAAUUUCUCUAUUCUUCAUUUACAAUUGGAGGGCACCUCCCUAUUUAUAA